rnacentral:tRNA from 1 species
UCCCUGGUGACUCAGAUGGUAAAGAAUCUGCUUCCAAAGCAGGAGUCCUGGGUUCGAUCUCUGGUUUGGGAA